CCGGCGAUGUCCGAAUGGGGAAACCCAGUGCAAUUCGUUGCACUAUCGUUAACUGAAUACAUAGGUUAACGAGGCGAACCGGGGGAACUGAAACAUCUAAGUACCCCGAGGAAAAGAAAUCAACCGAGAUUCCCCCAGUAGCGGCGAGCGAACGGGGAGCAGCCCAGAGUCUGAAUCAGCUUGUGUGUUAGUGGAACGGUCUGGAAAGUCCGACGGUACAGGGUGAUAGUCCCGUACACCAAAAUGCACAGGUUGUGAACUCGAAGAGUAGGGCGGGACACGUGGUAUCCUGUCUGAAUAUGGGGGGACCAUCCUCCAAGGCUAAAUACUCCUGACUGACCGAUAGUGAACCAGUACCGUGAGGGAAAGGCGAAAAGAACCCCGGCGAGGGGAGUGAAAAAGAACCUGAAACCGUGUACGUACAAGCAGUGGGAGCACCUUCGGGUGUGACUGCGUACCUUUUGUAUAAUGGGUCAGCGACUUAUAUUCUGUAGCAAGGUUAACCGUAUAGGGGAGCCGCAGGGAAACCGAGUCUUAACUGGGCGUUAAGUUGCAGGGUAUAGACCCGAAACCCGGUGAUCUAGCCAUGGGCAGGUUGAAGGUUGGGUAACACUAACUGGAGGACCGAACCGACUAAUGUUGAAAAAUUAGCGGAUGACUUGUGGCUGGGGGUGAAAGGCCAAUCAAACCGGGAGAUAGCUGGUUCUCCCCGAAAGCUAUUUAGGUAGCGCCUCGUGAACUCAUCUUCGGGGGUAGAGCACUGUUUCGGCUAGGGGGUCAUCCCGACUUACCAACCCGAUGCAAACUACGAAUACCGAAGAAUGUUAUCACGGGAGACACACGGCGGGUGCUAACGUCCGUCGUGAAGAGGGAAACAACCCAGACCGCCAGCUAAGGUCCCAAAGUCAUGGUUAAGUGGGAAACGAUGUGGGAAGGCACAGACAGCCAGGAUGUUGGCUUAGAAGCAGCCAUCAUUUAAAGAAAGCGUAAUAGCUCACUGGUCGAGUCGGCCUGCGCGGAAGAUGUAACGGGGCUAAACCAUGCACCGAAGCUGCGGCAGCGACACUAUGUGUUGUUGGGUAGGGGAGCGUUCUGUAAGCCUGCGAAGGUGUGCUGUGAGGCAUGCUGGAGGUAUCAGAAGUGCGAAUGCUGACAUAAGUAACGAUAAAGCGGGUGAAAAGCCCGCUCGCCGGAAGACCAAGGGUUCCUGUCCAACGUUAAUCGGGGCAGGGUGAGUCGACCCCUAAGGCGAGGCCGAAAGGCGUAGUCGAUGGGAAACAGGUUAAUAUUCCUGUACUUGGUGUUACUGCGAAGGGGGGACGGAGAAGGCUAUGUUAGCCGGGCGACGGUUGUCCCGGUUUAAGCAUGUAGGCUGAUUGUCCAGGCAAAUCCGGAUAAUCAAGGCUGAGGUGUGAUGACGAGGCACUACGGUGCUGAAGUAACAAAUGCCCUGCUUCCAGGAAAAGCCUCUAAGCAUCAGGUAACAUCAAAUCGUACCCCAAACCGACACAGGUGGUCAGGUAGAGAAUACCAAGGCGCUUGAGAGAACUCGGGUGAAGGAACUAGGCAAAAUGGUGCCGUAACUUCGGGAGAAGGCACGCUGGUGUGUAGGUGAAGCCCCUGCGGGUGGAGCUGAGACCAGUCGAAGAUACCAGCUGGCUGCAACUGUUUAUUAAAAACACAGCACUGUGCAAACACGAAAGUGGACGUAUACGGUGUGACGCCUGCCCGGUGCCGGAAGGUUAAUUGAUGGGGUUAUCCGUAAGGAGAAGCUCUUGAUCGAAGCCCCGGUAAACGGCGGCCGUAACUAUAACGGUCCUAAGGUAGCGAAAUUCCUUGUCGGGUAAGUUCCGACCUGCACGAAUGGCGUAAUGAUGGCCAGGCUGUCUCCACCCGAGACUCAGUGAAAUUGAACUCGCUGUGAAGAUGCAGUGUACCCGCGGCAAGACGGAAAGACCCCGUGAACCUUUACUAUAGCUUGACACUGAACAUUGAGCCUUGAUGUGUAGGAUAGGUGGGAGGCUUUGAAGCGUGGACGCCAGUCUGCGUGGAGCCAACCUUGAAAUACCACCCUUUAAUGUUUGAUGUUCUAACGUUGGCCCCUUACCGGGGUUGCGGACAGUGUCUGGUGGGUAGUUUGACUGGGGCGGUCUCCUCCCAAAGCGUAACGGAGGAGCACGAAGGUUAGCUAAUCCUGGUCGGACAUCAGGAGGUUAGUGCAAUGGCAUAAGCUAGCUUGACUGCGAGCGUGACGGCGCGAGCAGGUGCGAAAGCAGGUCAUAGUGAUCCGGUGGUUCUGAAUGGAAGGGCCAUCGCUCAACGGAUAAAAGGUACUCCGGGGAUAACAGGCUGAUACCGCCCAAGAGUUCAUAUCGACGGCGGUGUUUGGCACCUCGAUGUCGGCUCAUCACAUCCUGGGGCUGAAGUAGGUCCCAAGGGUAUGGCUGUUCGCCAUUUAAAGUGGUACGCGAGCUGGGUUUAGAACGUCGUGAGACAGUUCGGUCCCUAUCUGCCGUGGGCGCUGGAGAAUUGAGGGGGGCUGCUCCUAGUACGAGAGGACCGGAGUGGACGCAUCACUGGUGUUCGGGUUGUCAUGCCAAUGGCACUGCCCGGUAGCUAAAUGCGGAAGAGAUAAGUGCUGAAAGCAUCUAAGCACGAAACUUGCCCCGAGAUGAGUUCUCCCUGAGACUUUAAGUCUCCUGAAGGAACGUUGAAGACGACGACGUUGAUAGGCCGGGUGUGUAAGCGCAGCGAUGCGUUGAGCUAACCGGUACUAAUGAACCGUGAGGCUUAACCUUACAACGCCGAAG
rnacentral:rRNA from 1 species